AAAGGAUCAUUAAUAAUGGCUUGGUAUUAAAAAGAACUUAGAACUUUUUAUGGUGAAUGGUUAAUGGUAUGAGGGACAUUUAAAAACAUUUUCCAUAAAGUUGAACUUGUUUGGAAAAUGGAAUUUCAGAAAGUGAAAUUAUAGUGUAAUAGUAAAAAUGUGUCUGACCUUUAUGAAGAACACUGACCUUUUGGUACUUUUCUCUAAAUGACUUUUUUUUUUAGUUGCUUUUACCUAAAUGACUUGCUAAAUUGAACAUUGUUUUUCUCAUUCGCAUUAUUUCCAACUUCCACAGUUCUUGAUUUCAGCAUCUGCUUGAUUAUCUUUCUGCAACUUUCUGGUGAAUAUUAAUGACUUUUUAUUGUUGAUGCGGCAUAAAAAAUUUCUUAAAUGUAGUUUCAUGUGACGUUUAAUCAGUUAUAGACCUUUUAGAAAAUCAUGCAUCUGAUUGUUGCUUCUGGGAAAGUAUCAUUGGAUUUCUUUUUGUUUAUGAUCAUCUACAGGUGACUUCAUGCAAGUUAU
rnacentral:misc_RNA from 1 species